ACCAAUGACAAAAUGACCAGAAUGCACCCAAUCAUCUCAGAUCUUGGAAGAAAAGCAUGGCUGAACUUCAAUAGUGCUUGGAU
rnacentral:rRNA from 1 species